rnacentral:ncRNA from 1 species
CGCUAUUAGUCGGGGUGCCCAGUGGCUGAGAUGAUACCCGUGAACCUGAAACAGUUAGGACUGGCGUAGGAAACUGAUUAUGUACCCCC